AGCCCAUGCUAUUUCCACAGAGCUACGCUGCUUCUCUCCAAGCUUUUUGUGGAACUCUGGAAGAUGAAGAGGAUUAAGUCGUUUCUAUAAAGCCAAAGCAGCCUGCCAUCUCCUUCUCUUCUGGGCUCUAGUCCAAUUUGCACAGCAGUUGCAAAGGAAAGCAAACGCAUCACUAGAUUCAGCGAGAAACACUGUAACAGUAUGUAAUCUCUGUCAAGAUAAAAUUGCUUUGUGAUUUACAUUACAAUAAAUCCUGACCUUUAAGUGCUGCCGACUAA